ensembl:snoRNA SNORA71 Small nucleolar RNA SNORA71
ACCUGUCUCGAAAGUGUUCGUGGCGUCCUUGUCGCCUCGGUCAUUGAUAGAGCAGGAAGACAAAGCUGCGAGCCUUUCCCGUGUCUGCAGGACGACCACUUCCUGUCGGACCCUGGCGCUCGCACACA